rnacentral:rRNA from 1 species
GGAAUUUUCCGCAAUGGGCGAAAGCCUGACGGAGCAAUACCGCGUGAGGGAAGACGGCCUAUGGGUUGUAAACCUCUUUUUUCAGGGAGGAAUAAAAUGACGUGUACCUGAAGAAUAAGCAUCGGCUGACUCCGUGCCAGCAGCCGCGGUAAGACGGAGGAUGCAAGUGUUAUCCGGAAUCACUGGGCGUAAAGCGUCUGUAGGUGGUCAAAUAAGUCAACUGUUAAAUCUUGAGGCUCAACCUCAAAACUGCAGUCGAAACUAUUAGACUAGAGUAUAGUAGGGGUAAAGGGAAUUUCCAGUGGAGCGGUGAAAUGCGUAGAUAUUGGAAAGAACACCGAUGGCGAAGGCACUUUACUGGGCUAUUACUAACACUCAGAGACGAAAGCUAGGGUAGCAAAUGGGAUUAGAUACCCCAGUAGUC